rnacentral:rRNA from 1 species
AUACGGAGGGUGCAAGCGUUAUCCGGAUUUAUUAGGUUUAAAGGGUCCGUAGGCGGGAAUAUAAGUCAGUGGUGAAAUCCUGCAGCUUAACUGUAGAACUGCCAUUGAUACUGUAUUUCUCGAGUUUAGUCGAGGUAGGCGGAAUGUGUAAUGUAGCGGUGAAAUGCUUAGAUAUUACACAGAACACCGAUUGCGAAGGCAGCUUACUAGGCUAUAACUGACGCUGAUGGACGAAAGCGUGGGGAGCGAACAGGAUUAGAAACCCUAGUAGUCC